rnacentral:rRNA from 1 species
UACAGAGGGUGCAAGCGUUAAUCGGAAUGACUGGGCGUAAAGGGCGCGUAGGUGGAUGCGUAAGUAAAUUGUGAAAUACCCGGGCUUAACCUGGGGCGGUCAAUUUAAACGGCGUAUCUAGAGUGGAGUAGAGGGAAGUAGAAUUUCCGGUGUAGCGGUGAAAUGCGUAGAUAUCGGAAGGAAUACCGGUGGCGAAGGCGUCUUCCUGGACUCUAACUGACACUGAGGCGCGAAAGCAUGGGGAUCAAAC